rnacentral:rRNA from 1 species
GAUGAACGCUGGCGGCGUGCCUAAUACAUGCAAGUCGAGCGAACAGACGAGGAGCUUGCUCCUCUGACGUUAGCGGCGGGCGGGUGAGUAACACGUGGAUAACCUACCUAUAAGACUGGGAUAACUUCGGGAAACCGGAGCUAAUACCGGAUAAUAUAUUGAACCGCAUGGUUCAAUAGUGAAAGACGGUUUUGCUGUCACUUAUAGAUGGAUCCGCGUCGCAUUAGCUAGUUGGUAAGGUAACGGCUUACCAAGGCAACGAUGCGUAGCCGACCUGAGAGGGUGAUCGGCCACACUGGAACUGAGACACGGUCCAGACUCCUACGGGAGGCAGCAGUAGGGAAUCUUCCGCAAUGGGCGAAAGCCUGACGGAGCAACGCCGCGUGAGUGAUGAAGGUCUUCGGAUCGUAAAACUCUGUUAUUAGGGAAGAACAAAUGUGUAAGUAACUAUGCACGUCUUGACGGUACCUAAUCAGAAAGCCACGGCUAACUACGUG